UACGUAGGGGGCAAGCGUUGUCCGGAAUCAUUGGGCGUAAAGCGCGUGUAGGCGGCUUGGUAAGUCUGCUCUGAAAGCCCGGGGCUCAACCCCGGGAGGCGGGUGGAUACUGUCAAGCUCGAGUCCGGAAGAGGAGUGUGGAAUUCCUGGUGUAGCGGUGAAAUGCGUAGAUAUCGUUUGGAACGCCAAUGGUGAAAACAGGUAACUGGGAGUGUGCCGACGCUGGAGACACGAAAGCCAGGGGAGCGAACGGG
rnacentral:rRNA from 1 species